GCUUAGUAUGCGCUGCGAAGCCCGACUGCAGCCCACGCAUCUUAACUAUGGUGAGUUAUGGUGAAAUAUGAGAGACGUGGGAAGAGCUGGCAGAUCAAAAGCAGUUGGUCGUGAUGAGAUGACCCCUUUGCUGGACAGGUAGUCAAAAAGGGAUGAAGGAAAGAUGUGAAGGAAUGGACUCACGACCCCAAGACACCUUUUAAGAGGAGACAAACUGGAUAAAAAAAACACAUGCGUCUGCGCACCAAGAGAAUCAGGAGCCGGAGCUUUGGCUGGCAGAGAGGAGCUGCUUUGACCGUGGAAGCUCACCGAACACUUCUGCUGGGCCCAUUACGCAUUACCACCAGAGGACACACUGUAUACAAGCCUUACAAGCACUAGUGCACCUAGCUCUUGGCAGGCAGAUCUGCCUGAACCCACGAGUGUGUGGAGCCUUUAUCCCCUUGUGACCCAUCGUGGCCCCACCCUGUCUGAAACCUGCAGGUCCCAUCUUCCCCCAGCAUGACGGUUGCCACCAGCGACCCUGCGGAUGAAGCCGCAGCACAUCCGGGUCAGCCUCAGGACCAGUAUGACCCAGAGCUGGACCAUGAGUGCUGCGAGAGGGUCGUCAUCAACAUAUCAGGCUUGCGCUUUGAGACGCAGCUCAAGACCCUCUCCCAGUUUCCAGAGACGCUGCUGGGGGAUCCCAAGAAAAGGAUGAGGUACUUUGAUCCUCUGAGGAAUGAGUACUUUUUUGAUCGAAAUCGACCAAGUUUUGAUGCUAUUCUGUAUUAUUACCAAUCAGGAGGGAGGCUGCGCCGGCCUGUUAAUGUGACCCUGGACAUUUUUUCUGAGGAGAUCCGUUUUUAUGAAUUAGGUGAGGAGGCUAUGGAAAUCUUUAGGGAGGAUGAAGGUUUCAUAAAGGAAGAGGAGCGGCCUCUGCCAGAGAAUGAGUUUCAGAGACAAGUAUGGUUGCUGUUUGAGUAUCCGGAAAGCUCAGGUCCUGCACGCAUCAUUGCCAUUAUCUCUGUCAUGGUCAUUCUUAUCUCUAUUGUCAGCUUUUGUCUGGAGACAUUGCCAGUUUUUCGAAAUGAUGAUGAGGAGAUGUACAAUUUUCCAUUACAGUCAAUGUCCAACGUCACCUCUACCUAUGACAGCUCGGCGUAUUUCAAAGACCCUUUCUUCAUUGUGGAGACCCUCUGUAUUAUCUGGUUCUCUUUUGAGUUCCUAGUUAGGUUCUUUGCCUGUCCCAGUAAAGCUGGAUUUUUUGGCAACAUCAUGAACAUCAUUGAUAUUGUUGCAAUCAUCCCCUACUUCAUCACCCUGGGAACAGAGCUAGCAGAGAGGCCAGAGGACGGCCAGGCAGGCCAGCAGGCUAUGUCUUUGGCUAUUCUCCGUGUUAUUCGUCUAGUCAGGGUGUUUCGUAUCUUUAAACUCUCACGUCACUCCAAGGGUCUCCAGAUCUUGGGCCAAACUCUGAAGGCUAGUAUGCGUGAGCUGGGCCUCCUCAUCUUCUUCCUGUUCAUUGGUGUGAUCCUCUUCUCCAGUGCUGUCUACUUCGCGGAAGCGGACGAGCCACAGUCCCAGUUCAGCAGCAUCCCCGAGGCCUUUUGGUGGGCUGUGGUUUCCAUGACCACCGUGGGCUAUGGAGACAUGGUCCCAACAACCAUUGGAGGAAAGAUUGUGGGGUCUCUCUGCGCCAUUGCCGGUGUGCUGACUAUUGCCCUGCCUGUGCCUGUCAUUGUGUCAAACUUCAACUACUUCUACCACCGAGAGACAGAGGGCGAGGAACAGGCACAGUAUCUGAAUGUCCCAAGUGUGCCUAAAGUGAGCUCAGCUGAAGAGCUGAAGAAGAGCGGUCGGCGCGGCAGUGGGUCCACUCUCAGCAAAUCUGACUAUGUGGAGAUUCAGGAGGCUGUGAACCACAGCACUGAGGACUUCAGACCAGAGGGCAUGAAAACGGGAAACUGCACCCUGUCCAACACUAACUAUGUUAACAUCACCAAGAUGCGUACAGAUGUAUAAUGUAAGCUACUGUAGAUGGUUAACUUCAGCUGGGGUUUGUAACGGGAGGAUGAAGGUGUGACUCCAUGUAUUGACCAACGAAUGGCGCCCAGUAUGAGAGUCCAGAGCAGAUGAGUGGGAUUACCUUGGAGAAAAGGUCAGUCAAGAGGACCUCAUGCUCAAGCACAUCCUAUGAAGCUAUCAGCGCAUAUCAUAGAAUUGCCACCCGUCUUAUUUAGGACAUUGUCAGUGUCUGCAUGGAGUUUAUUUUUUUUGUCUAUGUGACAGUCAUCCUGCUCGCAAAAGUAGCCAAGUAGUAGCCUAACCAGUAAUAACUAAUAUUAACAGCAUAAAGGGACCACUAGUUUCUACCUUCUAGCUCAAACUGCCGCUGGGAGAAGAUACACGAAAAACAACAAGUUACAUCAGCCUAACAUUUAUUAUUAAAUGUAACUUAACUUAUUGUGAUUAAAAACAGGUCACACUAUCAGCAUCAUGAGCAACUUUAAUCUGCUGCUCUAACUGCCAAGGUCCUGACUCAGAGAAAAACAAAAUCACCCAGACCACAGUGGUUCUGUCAGGGGAAAACUGAAGUGCACAACUAAGAGAGAGAGAGAGUGAUACUAAUACGCUCUCUGGCCAAAUGGUCAUUUGUUGCUUUCUCUGUCAGAGACAAAAGCUUGAGUGCACUUGCAUUCCUCCCCGGGUCCUUACUAGAUAUUGUCUAGUUCUAGCUAGUGACUUCGGUAGAGACCAACAAAUACAGUAGAUGACAGUGCUGUAAUUCUGAACCACAUAGCACACCUCUCUUUCCUGCCAUUUUUCUUCAAUGAAGCUCAAGUGGAUUUACAGAAUGUACACCAUCGCCAAGACUUUUGGUUUUUAAGCCGAUGCAGGCUAGCAGGUGGACAGAAGAAAUGUCUCGCUAAAGAGAGUGAAUGGUUAUUUAUUGAUGUGUUCAUUUGAUUUCUUGUAAUGUAUGCUUUUUUAGUAAUAUGAUGAAUGUGUGCCUCUCACUUACAUUUUUUUAUGGUUAAGAUAUGUGAUGUACUGUAGAAAGAGUGAAUAAUUUCUCUGCAGCGUUCUGAGUGAGUGCCUAUUUCCCCAUCCUCUUGACUUUACCUUUAAGUGUCUCUUCAGCUGCCCUGGUCUACUGUAACAGACGUACAGUAAGAAGUGUUAUAAAUGUUGCUGUACUUGACUUCAUAGCAUUCCAAUCACAUGAGAUUAAGGAGGAAACUGGUGUGAGAUUUUAGUUUGUUGUUUUUGUCAGAAGCCAAUUACAACCAAGUUAAUAGCAGCAGAGAACUAGGUUUAUCAAUAAGGCUUUUUAUAUUCUCUAAAGGCCCACAAUCAAAGAAAUAGCUCAGUGAUCAAGUAAAAUUAAUCUAUGACACCUUCAAGGAUCUUUUGUCAUGCUAGCACUGCCUGCUUUGUAUUAUUCAGCCUUGCUGGAUGAGUGGCAAGAGGCAGUCUCAGUCUUUAAGUCUGCUGUAAGCAUGCUUAUGCAGCUUAUUUGCGAUACAGGUACAAUAUAUUUAUUGAUUGCUCUUACCUAAUCAAAGUGAUAAAUAAUUUUAGUCUGCCAUGCCCUCUUUCCCCAUAUAUUUCCCAUAUUUAACAAUUGAUCAAAAUUAGUGAACUUUGCCUGCCUCUGGAACAAGUUAAAAGUGUUACUCAACUAGUUCACCCAAGACAAAUGUGCUGCCACCUAUUGCAUUGUAAAAGAGAUUAAUUUGUUUCCCAGUAUUUGUUUUUCUUUCUUGCAGUUUUAACAAUCAUUCCAUCGGCUCAUUUUCCCCACAUAAUGCAGGACCUAUGUGUCCUUCAUAUUCUUUUUAUUAAACAGAUGCUAUUCUGCUAUUGUGGUGCUGCAUGUCCUUUAUAGUAUUCAUUGUAGCAUGAAUUAGUAUGAAUAAUACUUAAAAAGCAAAUUGACAUCAAUAUAUUGCAAUCUCUAUAUCUGCCGUUAUGUGCAAUAUACUGUAUCAAGACAAGUGUCUUGCCUUAGAAUUAUGUGUCAUGCUUUGCAUAUGCGUCUUCUUGCCAUUACUAUCUGAAAUAUCGUUGAGUCGCAAAUCCAUGUAAAGUGUUUACCCAGAGAGUGCAGUGUGUACACAAAUGAAAGUAAAAAAGUAACAGCAGGUUUAUUCAUGAGAGGACAUGGGGAAGGUUUGAGAGCAGAUCCACAUUGAAUUCAGAACAGGGAUAGCUAAACAUAUGAUCAACAGUUCAGACAUUAACUAAUCCCGCUUGCUUUUUCUUUAUCGUCAGUUGCAGUCACAAUCCAGAACCGUGUCUCAUGGUGAAAGCACAACAACAGCUACUAUAUGCUGCCAUCCCAGUAGAUGCACAGAUUCAAACUGUCAGUCACUCAGACUUUUUCUACCCAGCGAAGUGUAUCAUAAUGCUCCCAGGGACUGUGUUUGAGUGGGCUUAUAUAUAUAGGUCCAUCACACUCAGUGUGUAGUUCUGUCUGUUGUGUGUGUGUGUGUGUGUGUGUGUGUGUGUGUGUGUGUGUCCAUAAAUGACAGUGAAAAAGACAGAGACAAAGAAGUUGUGAGAUAUAGAGAGUUUUUAGAUGUACACAAGCUGAGUAUGAAGCCCAGAGACAAUGUGGUAGCAGUUAUCUAAAACACUGCUCUUCUUGACUCCAGGCUACUAUGGUGCUCUGUAUAUUCUAUUCCAUCAUAGCACAGUGUUUACAGCCUGUGUAUAUGUUCAGCACAUGCAUAUAGUUAAUAAACAAAGACAACUGAAAGGAAUGUCCUGCCACACUCAUUACAGUAGAGAUGAGAUAUGUGAGCAUGUGUUGAUUUAUGAGAUAAGCUGCAGUGUCAGCCCAUUACUGGGGGUUAAAGGAAAUAGAAGGAAAGAGAGGAAAGGUUGGGAAGGAAAAAACAAUAAUGGAAGUAAGAUAAACCCUGCCCACACCCUCUUUUGCUGUUUAAACUGCUGGGUAUUUUUUUUUUACUGUUCUUGUUUACCGGAACACCUACUGUAUGUGAAUUUAUGUGGCAUGAAAGCUUCGUCUGGACCUCUGUCGUUUCCACUCUUGUUACCAAGCACACUCCUGAAGUGACACUCUGUCAAGACAAAAACACUCACAUGGAGAAACCGACUCAUCAGGAUCAUCUGAAACAAGAAAAAAACACAUCCUUUCUGUACUCUACAGGCAAGAGGACACUUGACACACACAUACACACAUGUCAGACAAUUGAACACAUACAGCUGGUGUACACACACUGCCUGUGAUGGCCACGUCUGCUGCCAGGACGGACUCCUGUGGUUCUAUCAGACUUCAAGGCCACAGAGUGAAUGGAUUUAAAUCCACCGCUAGUGGUGAACACACGUACAGUAGCCAUGUAAACAAUGUAUUUAGGAGUUACAGCUGCUUUAAAUGAUGUCUUAAAAUGCCUAAAGCUUCAGCUUCAAAACGAGCUUCUGCCAUGUAAAGAUUCCUGUAGCAGGGAAUCAAAGUGUAUGCUUGCUGAAUUAAUCCAAGAAACUAAAGUUGUAUAGUAGGUAAGUUAUCGCUUAGGUUUGAUAUGUUUCAGGGACUAAGAAUGGAAUUAUAUUAGGAAAUCAAAAAGGAAAUAUAAUUUCUAUGAGAACUUUAACUUAUUUGCGUCAUCAGACACUGUAUAAAUAACUUUUUUUUUCUCACUGUUUUUCUAUUUGAAUGUUAUUGUUGGCUCACCUUUGAGCGUCAUACGGUGCAGGGGCUGAGGUUUGACUAAAAUGCACAUGCAGGCCUUGGUAAAAUAGAUUGUCUUUACUGUAUUAAUACAUAUUUACCCCCAAACAACCACCUCCUCUGAUGUAACUCUAUUUCCCCAACCUUCUUCAAUGUUGACAGUCACAAAUACAAAAUGUUUAUGGAAUUUAGUUAACCCUCACCUUCUUCACUAGCUUUCUUUAGCUUUUGUGGUCUAUUCAGCCAUCUGUAAAAGUCUGUUUUUUCUACCAUUGUAAGGAAGAAGACAAGCACUAUGUCCAUUGUUACACACAAAGGAAAUAUGGAUCUGAACACUUGCCGUGCCCUUGACAAGGACGAGUGAAUAUAAACUGAUUCAAAGAAAUCAUUGAUAGAUACUUUCAUUAUUCAAAAUAAUUGUAAAUGAGGAAUAAUAAUGGUCUUCAUGAUAAAAUCAAAAAUAACAUAUUUAUGAUAACAUCAAGCUACUGUUGUGUCUUUUUCAUUUGAUGUUAUGGACCUUUUGUGAUGAUUAGGCAAAAAGACAAAUAGAUUUGCAAUUCUUAUAGUGGUUUCAGAAAAGGUUUUCUCAUGAUAUUUUAUGAUUGUAUCUAUUAUGUUUUUCACCACGGCAAUAUACUUUGUAAGUCCAGGAUGCACAGAAUCAAACAGAAAAUGAUUACUUAGACUCUUAAUUGGUGAAUGUUUACAUCAAAUCCAACAACUUACUGUAGGUUCCUGUGUGAAUACAUAGCAAAGUCACUGAAGUAUACAGUUUGUAACAUAUCCAAUUCUUCGUUGGCGCUCUUCUAGCAAACUAAAGCCUUGAGAAAGAAAACCAAAAAGUUCCAUAUAUACCAUAUAAAUUGAUGAAAGCAUCACCGGAGCUGCUGCUCUCAUGUCCAUUACAGAAGGAUUAUUUGAAUCAAGCCUGAACUCCUUAAUGGCUCCCUGUGUUUUAUUGAGAAAGCAAAGUGGUCUAUUUAUAAAUCCAGGAAGGGGAAAAAUAACGCCCUCUACUCCUGGUUCAACAUAGAGUGGGACAAGUACAAACAUUGUCUAUAUUUCGUAGAGUUCCAUAGAGAACACUUUGCCUCGCAGCUGGAAAGGUUUGUCUCUUCACUCUCAUUGCUGCUACUUGAGUUUGAUCUUGUUUGCCCUCCACAUAAGUUGCCCCUCUCAUAUUUCAUUCACCACACAUUUCUCUUGUGUUCAUUUCUCUCCAUCUGUGCCUCUCCACCAGUGCUAAGCACCAAAGUAAUGCACAGCCGGUGUUCUGAUUAUCCUCUCAGACAUAUAUUAGCAGGAGUAUAAUGCUCCCACUAGGCCACCUCAGUUGCUUCCAGUAUGUUGGCUUAGGACACUAGCCAGGCAUCUUUCCAGAUAACUGAUGGGUAUUGAUCCACUGUUUGAUUAGCUAUGUAUUAAACAGAAGCCUGGCUUAAGUUCUCUUUAAGCCAGCCAGACAGCCAAUAUUCCAACUAUAUCACACAUCAGUCGGUUAUCCCAUCUUACAAUGUAUGUAAGGUUGUUCCCUGCGUUUGUCCUGACUUGCACUUUUAUAUUGUAGGCAACGUUUAUUUAAUGAUUUAAAGUGGCCGGGAGAAAAUAAUAAAAUUAAAAUAUUACCAAUAUGUUUCUUGACCAGUUUCUCACCUGCGGCCUGUCAUUUUGAUGGGCACAAGUGCACUUGUGUUUGUGUGUUGAAAGAAGCAAAACCCAAUUGACCAAGUGAUUGCCUUACAUGCUGUGAAAAUAUACUUAUUGCAGUAUGAGC